rnacentral:rRNA from 1 species
GACGAACGCUGGCGGCGUGCUUAACACAUGCAAGUCGAACGGAAAGGCCCUGCUUUUGUGGGGUGCUCGAGUGGCGAACGGGUGAGUAACACGUGAGUAACCUGCCCUUGUCUUUGGGAUAACUUCAGGAAACUGGGGCUAAUACCGGAUAGGAGCUCCUGCUGCAUGGUGGGGGGUGGAAAGUUUCGGCGGUUGGGGAUGGACUCGCGGCUUAUCAGCUUGUUGGUGGGGUAGUGGCUUACCAAGGGUUUGACGGGUAGCCGGCCUGAGAGGGUGACCGGGCACCUUGGGACUGAGAUACGGACCAGACUCCUACGGGAGGCAGCAGUGGGGAAUAUGACACAGUGGGCGGAAGCCUGAUGCGACAGCGCCGCGUGCGGGAUGACGGCCUUCGGGUUGUAAACCGCUUUCGCCUGUGACGAAGCGUGAGUGACGGUAAUGAGUAAAGAAGCACCGGCUAACUACGUG